AUUGAACGCUGGCGGCAGGCUUAACACAUGCAAGCCGAGCGGAGAUGAGGUGCUUGCACCUUAUCUUAGCGGCGGACGGGUGAGUAAUGCUUAGGAAUCUGCCUAUUAGUGGGGGACAACAUUCCGAAAGGAAUGCUAAUACCGCAUACGUCCUACGGGAGAAAGCAGGGGAUCUUCGGACCUUGCGCUAAUAGAUGAGCCUAAGUCGGAUUAGCUAGUUGGUGGGGUAAAGGCCUACCAAGGCGGCGAUCUGUAGCGGGUCUGAGAGGAUGAUCCGCCACACUGGGACUGAGACACGGCCCAGACUCCUACGGGAGGCAGCAGUGGGGAAUAUUGGACAAUGGGGGAAACCCUGAUCCAGCCAUGCCGCGUGUGUGAAGAAGGCCUUAUGGUUGUAAAGCACUUUAAGCGAGGAGGAGGCUACUGAGACUAAUACUCUUGGAUAGUGGACGUUACUCGCAGAAUAAGCACCGGCUAACUCUGUGCCAGCAGCCGCCGUAAAAC
rnacentral:rRNA from 1 species